CCUGCCUGCUUGUUCAUACCUUUGCGUAUUUUUAUUUAAUAAUCGGGCAAUAUAAAUAUUAUGAGGUAGAAGGAUUUUAUAGCUAGAAUAUCAUAUUCUACUAAAUAUAAAAGUUUGGAGCCCGACGAGUUAAUUAUAGAAAUUAGCUUUUGAAUAAGCAGGUAGCUCCUGAGAAUAAGCAUAAAGCUCAUCUGAUUUGAGUAAAUAAUGGGACAGGUGUACGUUGGAGGAGAUUUGGGUGAAGUUAUAAAAAUCCAGAAAGUAUCGGUAGGAGGUACGCAUGGCACCUCCGGGACAGGGGACGUCUCGGGAGAUAGAAA